rnacentral:rRNA from 1 species
CCUACGGGAGGCAGCAGUGGGGAAUAUUGCACAAUGGGGGAAACCCUGAUGCAGCGACGCCGCGUGAGUGAAGAAGUAUUUCGUUAUGUAAAGCUCUUUUAGUAGGGAAGAAAAUGACGGUACCUGAGUAAGAAGCACCGGCUAACUACGUGCCAGCAGCCGCGGUAAUACGGAGGGGGCAAGCGUUAUCCGGAUUUACUGGGGGUAAAGGGAGCGUAGACGGGAGUGCAAGUCUGAAGUGAAAGGCGGGGGCUCAACCCCCGGACUGCAAUGGAAACUGUACGGCUGGAGUACAGGAGAGGGAAGUGGAAUUCCUGGGGGAGCGGUGAAAUGCGUAGAGAUUAAGAGGAACACUAGUGGCGAAGGCGGCUUACUGGACAGUAACUGACGUUGAGGCUCGAAAGCGUGGGGAGCAAACAGGAUUAGAUACCCCGGUAGUC